rnacentral:rRNA from 1 species
UACGGAGGGUGCAAGCGUUAUCCGGAUUCACUGGGCUUAAAGGGAGCGUAGGUGGGUCUGUAAGUCAGUGGUGAAAUCUCCGGGCUUAACCUGGAAACUGCCAUUGAUACUAUAGGUCUUGAAUAUUGUGGAGGUUAGCGGAAUAUGUCAUGUAGCGGUGAAAUGCUUAGAUAUGACAUAGAACACCAAUUGCGAAGGCAGCUGGCUACGCAUAUAUUGACACUGAGGCUCGAAAGCGUGGGGAUCAAACAGG